UGCCCGGCUGCACUGGGCAGAUUUCUCAGAUUCUAAAACUGGCGCUUUUAUUUAUUUUUUGGUGAUGGGGAGGAGUAGGAGUAAUUAACCCUGCUUUGCACAGAGCCAGGUGAGCAGCAGGGAGCUGCGUGGACUCUGGAUUCAGGCCAAAGGCAGUAAAUGGCACAAGAGCAAAGUUCAGAGCUGCCUUCAAUCCUCGUUCACAUAAUGAAAGCAUGAAAGCAGAUUCACACGAUGGAUGAACAUGAAAAGCCAAACAUAUCGAUCACUCCGUACAUCGCUGGCAACCAGCUGUUCUGGCAGCAGUCUUACAAAGGCUCUGCUGCAGUCAGACACAAGAUAAUGAGAAGCAAGCAGAGGAGCCCGGAUCGGAUGGUGGACUCUGUCCAGCAAACGCAUUUGCUGUGUGCCUGAAACCUGCUGCACAGAGACAGAGAAGCUGUGGCAGUGCUGCAGGGAGCAUCAGGACGCCAGAGCUGCCCGAAGGGCCCAAACAUCCAAACCCUCUGCUUCCCUCGGGCUCUGCUGCACGACUAACAGAGCAGGUGGUGCGCAAGCCUAGGUAUUUGAUGUUUCUGAAGAUGAGAUAAAGGAGAAGAACCUCCCACACUACCUGUGAAGCCAUGACCGACUCCAGGGACACAAUGAUUUCCUUAACAGUGCUGUGAGUCUCUUUGUGUGUACAGUAAGUUGUGCUGUGCCUGCAAUCCAAAAGAAAGGCCAGCAUAUGCCACUAGUGUGCUUCACACAGAGUGUACCAAAGAGUACAUAUAUGGACUUUCACAACUACAUCUUCAAAAGCUGUUUUAGGAUGGAUGGGAGCAGGUCUUCUUGCCUUGAGGCACUGCUUGUAGAAAGGGGCAGAAGUCCUUUGGAUGCCUGUCUCACCCCAAGGACAUCAUUCUGUAGCAGCCUAUCCUCCUCUGCAGCAUCGCCCAGUCAUGAGGUCCUGCUGUUGCCUGUGGUCCAAAUUGCACACAACUACUGAUUUUUUUUCACAGGUUUCACUAAAUACAUGGCUACUGUCAAGUAAUGAAGGUUCUGCUGAAAGCCUAAUGCAGAGUGUUACAACUCCUGUACAACUCAGGAUGGAUUUUCAUCUGUACAGCUUUGCAGGUAGUCACGUAGCUAAGUGACAUUGAGCUGAGAAAUCUAUAAAGUGGAAUGUCUUUGUUAUCCAUCUCGUGGAAUUGCUAAUGUCAUCUUUAGCUCUUAUUCAUGCCAAUUAGCCAAAGCCCCAUGGAGGAAGACUAGAUAUAUAAUUCCAGCUGGAACUGGUGCGUCAUGUGUGGUUGCUGCCACAGGUCCUCAGCUCAGACUCAUCACUCAUCCGGCUAGUCACAGAGGUACUCUGGCAGUCCCAUCCGGAUGAUGCUUAUUUAGUCCCUUUGGUCUGCUGAAGCUGGUAAUAAAUCAACUCCAUAAUGAGGUGAAGUUGCCGUUGGAACAUGCUAUAACUACAUUGUCAUUCCAGAAGGCUUUAUUAGGUAAAAUAGCUGCUUGAUAUCUGGCUAGUCUGUUGGUAGCCUUUCUAACUGGUUUGCCUAAUGGCUGACCUUGCAUUGCUUAUAUAUACAGAAAGUUUGUUGAUCUGAGACAAUAUGGAGUGAAAUUUUCCAAGAUAUUUAUAAGAGUAUUGGGCUAACAGUCCAUAGCAUCACUCAGGACUGGACAUCUUUGUUCUCCUGGGACAAGGGUUACUUCAUAAGAGGGAUUUCACACACACGCCAUUUUUUCUUGAAAGCAAAUCUCAAAGCUGGUUACAACAUCAAUACUACACAUUUCCUUUCCCCUCCACUAAAGUAGGGCAGCCCCAAUAAUUUUCCUUAUAUCAAACUGGAUUAAAGGCUAGCAAUUCCCGUGCUGUCUAGGGGAUUUAAACACCCUGAUUGCCAGUGAUAGCACUAGAAUCCAAAUAGCAGAAAUCUUUCUAAAUGUUUCCACACUGCUUUCGCCUACAGCAUCCACCAGCAAACCUUUAUUUUCCUUCUUUUCAGCCCAAAUGUUUUUUUUUUCCUAAUGUAAUGUACUUCCUGAUUACAUUUGCCUGUAUCAUUCUAUAUGCUAUUUAAAAAUGACAUUUAUUGUUAAAUAAGCCCUACUCAUUUAUACAGUCAUCAUUCAACCAUACUAAUGAGAGGCUAACCACAAUUUGUAAGCUGCCGCUUUUCUUUCACUUCUGUAAUUAUAUCAGUGAUACUCAAUCUUUUCUGCCCUGUGAGCCACAAGGCCUGUUUGUGGUCACUAAAGAGCUGGGUGCCUUCUCCACAAAAUAUUAGUUCUGAACAGGGAUCAAACAGCUGGAGGACGUAAGGCCUCAGCCCUAUUGACAUUUCCCUUGCCCUGAAAUGGUGUUUAUUACCUCUCCAAGUGUUCUGGAGACUGUGUUUUGCUCAGAAGCUUUUCUGAGUGCCACUUGAGCUCCUGAUAUCUUCUGCAAAGAUGUGUAGGAUAAAGAGGGGUCCAGAUUCCCAUCAGCACCGCUAAACAUAGGUUUCCUAUCACCCUCUCUGUGCAAGACACGAUACAUUCUCACUUUUUGCUUGGCCUUCUCCUGGUCUUCACCUGCCCAACACUGUCAAUGAGAACAUGGCUGUCUCACUUCGGAGCAAAUAAAGGGUUUGUAGACUUAUUUUGAUUGCAAUUUUCCCCUGCUGCACAGGAGAGGGUAUGGCUCUGCUGGUAGCAGAAGUCCCGCUGAUAGCAGCUAUUGCGAUCUGCCUCCCCAGCUCUUGCUCAGCUCUGUGCUGGAAACCACACAAACCAGCAACUUUCUGGCACUGUGCCCAGGCUCUUGGGCACAGGUGCACUUACUAAGUUGAAGACAUUUGGCAGAUGGCUUACAGGUGUAGCCUUCUCCACUAAAUCCACAUCUGAUCCUGGUGUUACCAGGGCAGCCAGAUGCCCAGGCCAUGCCUUUCCACAGGGCAUGAAGGGGAUGACACUUUAGCAGCUUUAGCAUCUGAACUAAAUGCCCGAGGCACCCUCGGAGUCCUACAGUUGGGAGAAAAAUUGCUCCAAGGCUAAGCCUUGCCCACAGCAGCACCAGUGCCAGGACCUGUCUCUCCCUUUAUGUGGCAAAGGACCUUGUCUAUCCACCGGAGAAAGCUCCUUGAUGAAAGACAAAUCCAGGCUUUGCCAGGAUCCUUUGAGGUCUGGGGAAAUCAUGCUGAGAAAGGAGACUUCCUCACUAUUUAUCCCUGGCAUGACACCAAAGUCAGAUUUUUGUUCCUAGCCCUUGGUGUGGAUGCAAUUAACACGUGGCCUGCUCACUGUGGGAUGGUUAGUAGAAGAGUGAGGAGAGAUGGGAGCAAAUGCUGGCCCUUUUUAGCACUCUGUUACUGUUCCGUUAUCUGAAAUGCUGCAGUGUAUCAUUAUCUGUUGAUUGCAGUCUUUUGCCCAGUUUUUGCUGUUGCCCAGUCAGCACUCAUCUCCAAGACAAUCUGAAUUAAUUGUGUGAAGGAUUUCACAAGACUGAAAUAUUCAGCAACAUUCAACUGAAAUCAAGACAGAGCAGGACUGGUUCUGAUCACAGUCUGAGGUGGGCAGAGGUCUCAAGGAUUGAUGGGUUUUAUGGCUGCUCUUUACCCCAAGAGGGAAAAUCCUGCAUCUAGACCUCAUUGUGCCACAGACCUAGCAUUUUAUCAGCAGAGCAUGUAUCUGGUGGAUGGAAUUGCUCUCUGAAGCUCUUCUUUCUUUGUCUUCUAAGGAUUUUCUUUACCUUCUUUAUGCACCUCAGAUUUCCACCAUUUUUACUGUAAAUUCUGGUUUAAUCACCACUGUCGUUGAUACUUCUGCUCAUAAUAAUGAAGCAAGUGCUGAGGAUUAAAUCAGACUUACCAGACAACCACUGCCAGGACAACUGUUUGUCCCUCUCUCAAACACUGGCACUACAUGUGACUGCUUCCUGUACCUUGCUGUUCUCCAUGGCUUUUCAAUGGAGUUGGCGGAGGUGUGGAAUACAUAUUAGCUAACUCUGUUGACACAUUAAGUGAAUGUUAUCCAGAUCCACUGACUAAAUGCAAGUAUGACUAUUAAUUGUCUCUUUCCCCAAAAGAAGAAACAGAGUUUUGUCAAACCAAAUGCCACUUUCUCAGCUAAUAUCUUGCCACCUGCCCAACCAGAAGAGACAGCAUCCUUAUCUUUGUGACAAUAGUAGUAGUAGUAAUAACAGUAACAAUAACUACAACAAUUUCUCUUUUUGAAUGCAGUGUUAGGGCUUGUAAGUUUAAAAAAAAAAAAAAAAAAAAAAAAAAAAAAAAAGGAUGCUGCUUGCUGGAACUCUUGAUUUAGCAAGCUGAACAACCAAAUCAAAGGAAAUGAUGUUGCACAUGCAUGGUACUGGCAGCUUGAUAUCCCCAUUGGUGUUCACCUCUUCUCCAUAAUACUUUGUGCCAUUUGGCUUCAUCCCACAUCAUUCCAUUGAAAGUGAAGUGGGUCUCCAGUCCCAGCCCUUCCACUGAGCUAUACAGCUGUGGAUACAUGUCCUUACUUCUCCAUGUCUGCCCCCCUACCUGUGAAGGGGGCAAUCAAACUGGUUUUUGCACAGCUAUAUGAAAUUUUCAGACACUGAAGCACAGGAAGGCUAUAUUUCAGUACUGCAGACAGAUUGUUAGUAGUAUUAUCUUUCUUUCUCCUCUUUCCUUCCUCCUACCUCUCAGUUACACAGCAUCCCACUGUUCUCAAAGUUCAUAUGCUUGAGGAAAAAAAAAAGAAAUCUGAUUUUUCCACUGAGUGUCAGCAUAGAUCAGAGGCUACAGUAACAUCUUUAGCAUGGGCAGAUUAUAAAUUAACUUGGAAGGUUCAAGUAAUUGAUAUUCAUCAUUUGAAAAUGUACCAGACUAAAUCUCAAGUUUGAAUGAAAAGGUCAGAGAAAAAAUUCAAUCUGUUAAAACAGAGCAAACUAUUAGCAAUAGUCAGGUUUGAGUGUUUGUUUUUAAUUAAAAAUCAUUUUACUUGGCUAUCAUAUUUUUAUUGCACAGCAGGUAUUUUGUUCUUUUACAGAGUAACAUAAAACUUUUAUAGAUUCUCCUGCUUAGAACUUCCCUUUCUGCCCAUGCAUAGUGCAGUGGAGCCUGUUUGCAUUUCAUUUUAAAUCCUUACAAUGAGCCACUCUUUGAGGAUUGCACUGGUUUUAUUCAUGUACUCCCAGACACAAGUGUGCAUCGAAUUUUCUCUUCUGCUCCCUCUCCAGCUACUCUCCUGGCAAGCAGGUUAAACUGAAGCAAUGGUGCAGGGAGAUAUUUAUGCAGGCGUUCAUAAAUUGUUGUAGUUCUGCUUCCACCACGGGGGCUAUUGAAGCCCUUUGGGUUGGCGUAUAAUGAAAUGCAGACUCCCUGUACUCCCAGUGUGAGGAAGUGAAAAAAAUCAGAUUCCCUUUUUACUUUCCUAGAUAAUAAGUCCUUUGUUUUAACUAAUCUUUCACUUUCAGGAGUGAUUAGAUGGUUUAGCUGAAUGAAUCCUAUUAUUUAAAGCCUUUCCUUCCUGCUUCUCAAUGUGUGUUCUGACUCAUGUACCUAUUUUCAUGUAGAGAUUAUUUAGAUAAGGUGUUUUUUCUCUCCCUUUAAAAAUAGCAGCAAGCAAGAUUUUGGACUAAGCCUUAUCUGUGUAUAUGGACAGUCACUGGCAUCAAGCUUAGCUAAAGGCAGAGAUGCUAAAAUCCCCUUGCGAACUCUUGGAGACGAUGUUUGACUACUGCAUAAGAAGAUACAAUGAAAACAUGCAUGCUGACUGAUACUUUCAGGCCUCCUUUAAGUAUUAAACGAUGAAUACUAAACCCAAAAGCACAGCCCUAAAGCAGAAGAGCAUUCCCAAGCUUGUGCUUCCUCUCGAGCUUGUGCUCACUGGGUUCAAUAGGAAGUUCCUAAAGCUGAGCUGGUGACUGAAGCUGGUGCCUGUCCCUGCUGGAGUGGGACACAGCAUGGCCAUGGGGCCAUGGGAUGCAGGAACACAAUGCACUGGCCAGAGUGGAAGAGAAAGUGAAACUCUUCCUCCUUCAGCUCCCAGACAUAGGUGCUGGGAUCUGGCUCACUGGAUCACAGCAAGGGAGGUGGCUGCAGUCACAGCUAAGCCAGGAGCAGAGUGUGCCUCUUUCUUUAAUAUAAAUACCACUAACGUAUGUGCAUAGGAUACAUUUUCAUUGAGUUCCCUGUGUACUAUACACCCACAUACUCAAUGUGAAGCCAUUACCUCUGCCUCAUUCUCCCAGUCCAGCCUACGCUCCUAUUUAACUUAGUGCUCCCUGGCCAAGACACUUUUUAAAUUCCUUAUUCUCCCAGCACGCUAAUGAUCUUCUGGAGCUGGAUCCACCACCUCCCUGACAUAUCUUUCUACAAGCCAGAAUGUCUGAGAUUCAGCUGCAAAAAUGUCCAUGUGAACCUGGAGUCAACUUCCAAAAAGAUCUUUUAAAAAAGAAGCCAGAUACAGAGAAUGGGAAGGGAGAAAGAACAGCAGCCAGCAAAAUGCCUUCGCCUGAUUCAGGGGAUUUAUCUGCAUUUCUAGUUAAUAAAAGACAUUAAUUGAUUCACGUUUUUUAUGGCUGCACACAGAGCUAUUUCUGGCUGGAAGGAGACACUGUUAAACGGAAUGAGUCAGUCCAGACCUGUUAUGUCACCCUGGGACCCUGGAAGAUUUGUUAAUAGCUCUGAAGAAAUCAAGUUGCUUCACGGGGCUAUUUUCUUCUCAAACAUCAAAAGGAGAGGAAAAGUAUAGCAAUUCUGAAGGAUGAAAAUAAUUUUUUUACAUGGUCCUUUGCAUUUGACGAAUAGCAACAGGAUAAUCAAAGAGCUUUGCUCUCCACAAAGCACUUGCAUAGAAAUCUCAGCAGGAUUUAUCAGCCCAGCCAAACCUAAUCUCCAGAGACAUGGCUCUUAGCUAAGGAAAGUCCAGGCAGGUCACAGCUCCUCAAUUCACUUCCGAGGAUUUCUUCCAGAUUAACUUCACAAAUCAAAAGAUUGUGCUGAGAGAGUUUUACAGGAAGGAAAGUCUGUAUUUUUCCUCUUAAAACUAUGUAGAAAACAUUCUUUCACCAAACCCCACACUCUUCCCCACAAAGAAACCCACUUUAUAGACAUCAAUAUUCAAAGCUGUGCUGGAAACCAAACUGUUUUAAAUCAGAAUUUGUCUUCAGUGAAGAACUGAGUUGCAGCUGAGGUGUUUCAUGUUCCUGUUCUCCCUUCUGGGUCAUGGUACCCUACCAGAUGAUACCUCCAGGAUGUGACAUGUGGUGGUGACUGUGAUGGUUAUCACAGAUGGAGUCCAGCCAAGGAGCCAACAGAGAUGGUGGUCCCAAGUGGCAGGGGCACCGAAGGAACCUGUUAGGCCUUCAGCCCUCUGACCACAUUUCCACCUUCAGUUUGGAAAGUGAAUUGGAUAGUUUUAAACUGAAACACAUCUACGCUUUGUUUUUCAUCAGAAGACUAAAAAUAUCCAUGGAAAAUGUUGACAAAUUGAAAGCAUUUGUCAUUUCUGCUUCUGUUUCCCUGGUGACAAAAAAAAAAAAAAAAAAAAAAAAAAAAAAAAGUAUUUCCAACUAAGACAAAGCCUGCAUUUCACAGUAUUAGCCAGAUCAUCCCAAUAUUUGCCCUAGCUCUUGCCUCCAUGGUCCAAAGCAGCACAAUGGUGGCCAAAGCUUGUAAAAUGGGUCUCCCUCUUGUCUACUAAUUUGGAGCUCAUUUGCUCUUGUUACCACCUGUCCAGGACUGUUCACGAUGAGAUAAAUGCCUAUACUGGCCUCAUCCUAUUCAUAAAGUGAUACUUAUGUUUGUGGUCAUGCUAGGGAAACAGCAUUGUUCUUUGUGGUGAUGGGACAAGUUUUCUGUUGUUUUUUUUUCAGACUUUUUUUUUCUUUUUUUGGUGUUGACAUCUUGAAUAUUCACAGCUCCUGGCCAUCAGAGGAGUCCAUCAAAGGGCUCAGCUCUGUGUUGUAGAUAUGCAAAACAGAAGCCUGGGUUUCUUCUGAACUUUCCUCACACUGAGUGGUGAGACUAAUUUAGCAGCAUACGGUUUGUAAAUCUGCAUGUGGCCCCACCGUGAUAGCAUUAGCUGACUUAAAGGGGAUGGGGGGAAGUACAGGCAUGUUCAAAUCCUUACUGUUCAGACAAAUCUGCCCCCAGCUAUGCUUGCAUUGUCAUCUUUCUUAUGGAAAAAGCAUGCUAGAGAAAAAAAGAUCCUAGGUGGGCUCCUCCAAAUGCACUACUGCCACGGAGCCUGACGGGAGCACGGCUUUGUGCACCAUUUGUGCGGCUGCUGGAUUGCAGUGUUUUAGCUCUCCCUCCCUGUAUUAGAAAGCGAGUGAUGGUGUUUCUGGGGAAAGCCAUCCUUCUGCGAGAGUGGCUCGUGGGGACACGCAGAUAAAGUAAUCUCAGCCUCCAUGUGCUCCAGCAUCAGCACCUAACAAAGCCCCAUUCUCUGGGUGGCAGUAGCCUGCUGGUUUUCCAAACCAAAAUUUCCUGCUUUCACAUAGCAACCAGGGAUUUUGCUGAUCCCUUCCUCCCCCUUAUCAGUGAAGACUUCCAUUAAAACACCCUGGAAUCCUAAAGACAAGAAAUUACUGUGGCACAGCAAGGAUCAAUACAAGCAAGAUAAAUACAGCUUGUGUUGGCCAGAGCUCUUGUACUUCAUAACACAAAUCUCAAAAAGCGAUGCCAGCUACAAAUCCAGGCUAGUCUUUCUAUAAUGCCAUGCUCUUUAACUGUAAUGCACUGUGCUGUGACGCUACGAAGUGGGCUUCACCUGGUGCUGGAGUUUUGUACUUGCUUUGAGGAGCAAUGCUGCUGAAACAGUCCCAUCAAUCCUCCCCUGGCCUUGGCAGCUUUGUCCUUGCCUUGCCUGUCCUCGAGCCAGGGCAGCAUCCAAGAGGAGCUGCUUCGGGCUCAAACCACUGUAGGGUUGGUGUAAUCACACUUGAAGUCUCCAAUCUGGCCCGUUGUGUGGUCACACCAGUGCUUGUACUGGCACAAAAGAAUAUGCAUUGAAAGCACACAGGGAAAAAUGUCCAUCCCAGCUGCCCUGCUGGGCUGAAAUUUUAAACUGCACUCAACAUCCCUCAAAAUCACAUUGUCUUGUUAAUCAUCUAGGCUGUCAUUUCUGCAGAGAAAUACAGCCAUCUUAGGAUGAACUGAGCCACUGAAGAGAUGCCUACCUCUCCCCCAGACCUUCUGAGAGCCUACAUGAUCAGCUUAGGCUGAGGGCCCAAUUUUUAGAUGCUAUAAGCAAGAUGAUAUGAAUUCCAUCUACAUGACCAAUAUAGAAGACUCCAAAGUUAUUGUGAGCCUUGCAAGGCACCGGGGCCACAUGAGAAAGGAGGGUGGACUAAAGUGUGUCCUCUUUGGAGAGGUCUGGAGGCCUAAUGUUUGAGGCAUGGGCCCUAUCUUGGCAAGAAAACCAGUGGGCAGAUGAGAAGAAUGCAAUAGCCUGCUCUGCUUUACUUCUGAUGCUUUCAGCUCCUGUAGAAUAAGGCUGCGAAUAGACACAACUCUCAUGAAAAAGAGCAGUUGGAAGCUGAUGUACUCAGAGGUGCAGCAGCUCUUUCAUGGGGAAUAUUAUUUGUCCUUUCAGAACAAAGCUGUAAAGACUCAAAUAAUCUGUCCUUCUCUGGGAAAUUGUUCUUUAUUGUACUCCCAUCAGGCAUUCUGCAUGCUAGCACAGGGUUAUUACAGAAACAUUGUCCCUGCUGGGCUCAAACUACCUCACCAUGCUCCUAAGCUAGAAAACGGGAACCAGAACUGGAAGGUUGUCAUCCUCUGAGCCUUGUUACAGGAAUGUUGGGACAUAUGGUUCUUUCAUGGACUGACCAAGAUCCAUGCAGCAGAGCUGGCAUGCUUGUCCCAGCAUGUACCAAUAUGCUGACUGUCAGAGAACUUCACAGCUUUGACCUUGAAACCUCUUGCACUGAAAUUAUCCAUACCAAUCCUCACCUACUUGUCUUUGUGCUGGUAUUGUUCUAUAAUUUACACGUGAUUUUGCCUCCCAGCUAUUAAGCCGCUGCUGUGUUUGUGCAGGACGUUCCCAUGUCUCCCAGCUUUCCUUCUCUGGGCUAAGCAAGCUAAACUCCUGUACUGUCAUCUUGCCUGACAGGACCACUGCUCUCCAGCAAACCCUCUUUGUACCAUGGAUUUGUGCCUGCUCCAGACUGAAUUAAUCUUCCUUUAACACAGUAGAUAAAGAGAAGCUGCUCAGUGGCUCCUGCACCUCCUGUGGGUGAUUUCUUAUCUAGAGAGGACUAAAUAAUAGCUCAAAGGCACCAUUUUGUUGUUGUUGGUGGUGGUGGUUUUCUUUGUUUUUCUUCCUUCCUUGUUCUCCAGUAAUAAAAGCCAGUGGAUGGCCCAUAUCGAUCCUGAGGGCUGGAGGCUUCUGUCCCAGGGUAUCUGAUCAAUGCCAGGACUGAGCACUUAUUGUGGGGAUCCUCAAAGCGGGUGUAUCAGCGAGGUCUCUUCUUGAGGCAGUCACCCCGGUAGUCAAGGGAGAAGUUCUGCGCGGUUACGAUGAAGCUCCUUCAGGCUAGUCUGGACGUGUGAUGCAGGAUGCGCUGCACAGCAGGGCCUCCUUCUCCCCAGGCAGUACCAAGGGAGACUGGGCAGUGAAGUCAGAUGGAGAUGCCGCACUGACCCUACUUUGUCUUUACUGUUUC